AUAAAAGCAAUUACUUAGAUGAUGCAAAAUAAUAGGAAUAUCAACGGCAGUCCAAUUGUUGCAUGUCCCUCCAUGCGUUACAAAGUUGGUGCGGUCUUCCUCUUCACUAUCCUCUAGCACAACAGCUAAGUUUUGUUCAUUGCCAUGAAUGAACCCUCCGCUACGGAAUUUGAGUUGCAUAUCUUCAGAUCUAAUAGCUGACGAGCCUCUCUGGAACCCCAAAUCGGUUCUGCCCUUGUUGUCGGAGAUC
rnacentral:lncRNA from 1 species